AAAUGAGUCAUGUCCCAGAAAAUCACAUUAUUUUAAGGAGGCAAAGAGACUAUGAGACCUGGGCAGUGAGAUGCCAUAGAAAACCUGUAUCGGCAUCUGAACCUCAAUGGCCUGAGUAUCAGCCGUGAAAAGGACAGAAAUCAAAUGAGCUAAGAGAUGUCUGUUCUUCCCGUGGAAAUAACCCAGGCUGCCUGUCCUGGCUUUUCCCUGUUGCAUCAGUUCUCAGAUGUUACCAUCCAUCAGAACCAUGUGGAGAUAGCUGGGCUCUUGCCAGAGUUGGAUUCAGUAGGUCUGAGGAUGGCCCAAGAACCUGCCUCAUUUCAGUUCCAUCAUUACUUUCUAUUUCUUAUAAUAUUAAUGCUGUCACCACGUUUACACUUGAUUCAUCUGUCUACAGUGUUGACUGUGGGUGUGUUGUAACUAAGUUAUACCAAUGCCAAGGAAUUCCUGGCCCUUCCAUCUUUGCUGAAAUGAAUCUUAAAGUUAACUUGGAUUGCUUAUCAUUCCCCCUUUCUCUUCCAAGUCUUUAAAAAAAAAAAAAACAAUGUAACAGAUUUAUUCAGUUUUGCAAGGGAAGAAGAA